UACCUUUAACAUUCACAUUAUUCUCUCAGAAGUGAUGCUUAUUUAUUUACAUUGUUUUGAAUUAAUCAUGCAUUAUCUUAAUCUUAAUAUCAUAGC